rnacentral:rRNA from 1 species
UACGUAGGGGGCAAGCGUUGUCCGGAAUCAUUGGGCGUAAAGAGCGUGUAGGCGGCCUGGUAAGUCCGCUGUGAAAGUCCAGGGCUCAACCCUGGAAUGCCGGUGGAAACUGUCAGGCUCGAGUCCGGAAGAGGCGAGUGGAAUUCCCGGUGUAGCGGUGAAAUGCGCAGAUAUCAGGAGGAACACCAAUGGCGAAGGCAGCUCGCUGGGACGGUACUGACGCUGAGACGCGAAAGCGUGGGGAGCAAACAGG